AACUUGGGUUGCUGUACUUAGCCGUCCCAGCCUCUUUCUUUUUCUCCUCGUGACCGUCAGAGUGACCGGCAGUGGAAAAAGAAGUCUUGUAGAGCUGACCCAGUUCGCUAAACCAAGGUCAAGCCAAAGUCAAAGCCUAGUGCAAGUGCCAAGUGCGGCUCAAAGUGAUCAUUUAAUUUGAGUCGACGCGCCAGUUAUAUAUUGCCAAUACUGGGGCAGCCGUUCGACCAUUUGGAAAACGAGCGCCCACAGUGUACUAAAAUUUUUCAAAACAGUGGUGCAAUUCUGUUGAGGAUUAGCACCACUAGUAUCUACGUAUUGAAACGCUGGUCUAGAAGUUACGGAUUGGUUAUUCCCGGAGACCUCUAUUGGCCACGUGCCCGUACCACCGGUUAAACCCCCACCGUUUGACAUUCGGAUGAGGCGGUAGCCGAGAGCAUGGACUUGCUCCUCCAGUAAACCCGAUCGGUGGGCUCUGCAAGCGUCGCCGGGACCCGUUCGACCCAUGGGGAUGAUCUGACUGACUCUUCAAAUACACCAGUCGCCCCACGAGCCAUCAAGUGUGCGGGUGUACCUAACCUCACGCCGCAGAUGGACCGCGGUCAUUGACCCUUGGCAUCGGAAGCAGCAGAAUUUUCCGGCGCCCGGUACAAUCGUGUGCCACCUUCAGACCUCGAGUAGGAACUCGGUCUCCAGCCGGGAAGCAUCGACCCCGCCUCGGAUUUAGUUAUAUUUUCUAUCUUUCUUUCGACAUUAGACCCGAUAUGCGAAACCCUGUUUUUUUAUCCGCUUUCUGUUUAACUACGUUCUUUUGAUACGGAAAAAAUUUGCAACAGCCAAUUAAAUCCGGUAUAAACAAAAAGGGAAUUCCUAUCCAUGGGCUAAAUCGAACUUGAACAAAUGAGUAGUGUAUUAAUACCGAUUA